rnacentral:rRNA from 1 species
AUUGAACGCUGGCGGCAGGCCUAACACAUGCAAGUCGAGCGGAUGAAGGGAGCUUGCUCCUGGAUUCAGCGGCGGACGGGUGAGUAAUGCCUAGGAAUCUGCCUGGUAGUGGGGGAUAACGUCCGGAAACGGGCGCUAAUACCGCAUACGUCCUGAGGGAGAAAGUGGGGGAUCUUCGGACCUCACGCUAUCAGAUGAGCCUAGGUCGGAUUAGCUAGUUGGUGGGGUAAAGGCCUACCAAGGCGACGAUCCGUAACUGGUCUGAGAGGAUGAUCAGUCACACUGGAACUGAGACACGGUCCAGACUCCUACGGGAGGCAGCAGUGGGGAAUAUUGGACAAUGGGCGAAAGCCUGAUCCAGCCAUGCCGCGUGUGUGAAGAAGGUCUUCGGAUUGUAAUGCACUUUAAGUUGGGAGGAAGGGCAGUAAGUUAAUACCUCGCUGUUUUGACGUUACCAACAGAAUAAGCACCGGCUAACUUCGUG